rnacentral:tRNA from 1 species
ACAGAAACGGCUUGACUGCCUUGACACGGUAGAGGUCACUGGUUCGAGUCCAGUAUCGCCCACCA